AAGCAGACCUGUUCUAUCGCUGUCCCGAUGUAUCGGGAGAGAGGAAAGUCCGGGCAACAUAGAGCAACACGCUUCCUAACGGGAAGGUCCCGAUUAACUUUGUUGAGCUUGCUCCGCUCGGUUUGUCGGGAACAGAAAGUGCCACAGAAAAUAUACCGUCCCGAUUCAUCGGGAUAAGGGUGAAAACGUGAGGUAAGAGCUCACGGUCUUGUAUGGUGACAUACAUUACGGUAAACCUCGUGUGUUGAAAGACCAAAUAGGUCGCAGAAUGAAGGCUGCUCGUCUUCUCUCGAUUUUGUCGGGAUCUGCGAUGGGUAGGUUGAUGGAUCCCGUGAGUGAUUGCGGGACUAGAUAAAUGAUAGAAAGCCUCUCGUUGGAGGAUACAGAACCCGGCUUAUAGGGUUUGCUUCUUU
rnacentral:RNase_P_RNA from 1 species